rnacentral:misc_RNA from 1 species
CAGUGAGGAAACCUGUAAAAUAGAAUAUCAUGACUUGGAUGAUGCCCUUUUGUAUGGCAUUAAACAAGUUCAGGAUUAAUCCAAUAGGCACGACCCAUAUGAUUCUUUAGACUUAAAUAAAUGUCCAGUAAAUACCGAAAUAGAACAACAUGGAAAUGAAGAAAACCAUCCAUUCGAAGAAAACCAAGAAACUGAAAAAGAAAUCAGCGAGGAAACUUGUAAAAUAGAAAUAGAAUAUCAUGACUUGGAUGAUGCUCUUUUGGAUGGCUUUAAACGUGAAGUUCAGGAUGAAUCCAAUAGCCAUGACCUAUAUGAUUCCUUAGGCUUAAAUAAAUGUCCCGUAAAUACUGAAAUAGAACAACAUGGAAAUGAACUUAAUCCAUUUGAAGAAAACCAAGAAAUUGAAAAAGAAACAAAUAUCAACUCUGGAUUAAAUUAAAUAUUUAGAAAAUCUACAAUGUGUCCAUAAAUGUGUGUGUCGGCACUGCCGACCCUGACCGGCCGCCACUGUUGUUAAACUAACACAAGACUUUACUCUGAACGGACAAAAAAAAAACAUUAAAAAUGUGUAUAAUCAAUGAAGGUGAAGGCAUCAUGUGACUCACAUGUAUGCCAUCCGCACGGAACAUGUUAAAAAAUGAGAAUUUUUAAUAGUCUUACAAAAUUUAUUAUUAAACAAGCUGAUAAUGCGAGAAUUAUCAUAACGAAAACUUUGUUUAUUUACGUAUUUAAAUUCAUUUUAUGGAAAAUUGCUAUUAUGAACAGUUGUUUAGAAUUAAAAACUAUGUUUUAAUGUGCAAUUAUGUCAUUCUAAUUUAAAUGUUGUGAACUAUAAAGGUACUUUACUCUUCAUUCAUAUUUUUAUAUCCCUCGUAUAAAAUUUGAUAUAUGAUGGUUGCAUCAUAAAUCCUAGACCACGAAGAGCUUUUUAUGAAAAAUAACUUUUCUUCGUCAAAUUAAAAAUAAAAGAGUUAUAAAUGAAAAUGAUGUUGGUA